rnacentral:tRNA from 1 species
UGGUAUGUAAGUUAACUAGACUAUGAGUCUUCAGAACUUAAAGCAGGAAUAUAAAUUUUCUUAUACCAG